rnacentral:rRNA from 1 species
CCUACGGGAGGCUGCAGUGAGGAAUAUUGGUCAAUGGACGAGAGUCUGAACCAGCCAAGUAGCGUGAAGGAUGACUGCCCUAUGGGUUGUAAACUUCUUUUAUAUGGGAAUAGAAUGUUCCACGUGUGGGCUUUUGUAUGUACCAUAUGAAUAAGGAUCGGCUAACUCCGUGCCAGCAGCCGCGGUAAUACGGAGGAUCCGAGCGUUAUCCGGAUUUAUUGGGUUUAAAGGGAGCGUAGGUGGAUUGUUAAGUCAGUUGUGAAAGUUUGCGGCUCAACCGUAAAAUUGCAGUUGAAACUGGCAGUCUUGAGUACAGUAGAGGUGGGCGGAAUUCGUGGUGUAGCGGUGAAAUGCGUAGAUAUCACGAAGAACUCCGAUUGCGAAGGCAGCUCACUGGACUGCAACUGACACUGAGGCUCGAAAGUGUGGGUAUCAAACAGGAUUAGAUACCCCAGUAGUC